ensembl:lncRNA
CUGUGAGAGAGCGCGAGAAAACCCUUCUCGGGAUAACACUUAUUUUUGGCCUUCAUGUGACACCACUUUGGUUUCUAUGGAACUCCUAUGAAAUACUCACACACACAGAACAAUGUUUAUUUAGACAUUACAUGCACUUCACUUAACCAUAAACACUGACCUAAACAUCAAUUUUGCGCCACGUACAUUAACAGGGUAUUGCAAAAGACUCAUAUUUCAUAUUUGCCCCAAAAAAAGAAAAAAAAAUCACAUACGUGUCAAAAUAUCCUGUUCCUUCUCCUUACUAUUUAUUUGCCCUUUUCUCUGUAUCUUUCUUUUCGUAUCCCCUCUCCUCUCCUCCACUUCCUUCCUCGCCUCUUGCACCUGCGGAUGCUAUUAGCAAACAAAUAUAAAGUUAAUCCAGUGGCCUAAUCUCUUGCGUUCCACGCCCAGUCCUAUUUUCUACCGGUGUUUGAGGCCAGGAUUAAACAAUCUUUUUUUACUUUCUCUAUCGCAGCAUUUUUCAGGAGAACAUACCUACGGCUAAGUGCUGUUCACACCAUUCCAUAAAGCGUGUGUGUGUGUGUGUGUGUGUGUGUGUGUGUGUGUGUGUUACUACGAAGGCCUCCAGGGGCUCCAAGGCACUGUGAGGAUGCAGACACCAGGAACAGUGGUGCAGGAUGCUGCUUGUGCCGUAAUGGAGAGUUAUACAGUCAUUUUUGGGGAUUUUAGAGGCAAGAGUGUGAAGCUGUUGGGGCGGAAUUGGUUCGGGAUGCAAAAAGGUUAAGGGAAUUUCCUCAAUGGCAAGAAAAGGGUCGGUUUAUUGCCUCAAAUUGCUCAUGCAGGUUGGAAAUGAGUGAUUUCACAAUGUUGUGCAGGAAGUUCCUAGUGGCAGGCGGCCAAAUGCUGCUUUAAACCCCCUUCUCUGCAAUCUGAAGAUGGGUUUGCGCACAAGCCUGUGCACACCUGCCGGUGCCUAAACGCCCACACCCCCCCCCCCCCACACACACACACACACACCCACAUCGGCCGUAUUCACCGCUCCCUGGACGAGUUCACUGAUGGGGACGGAAGGAAAAUGUCAUUUUUAGCCUGAUGCCCUUUUAUGAAACCCGUAAAUCUCUGCAGCGCCGCCAGCAGGCCCAGAGGGGGUCGUUACACGGCAGAAAAUCAUAACUCUCACAUAUAACAUGCACUGUUUUGGGAUUACGUUUGUGAUCAGCCCACGGUGCCACACAGUGCAGUAGCCCCCGACUGACUAUGAGCAGCACUUUCUGGAUGUGCAAAAAGCAAAAGCUCCCCCCUUGUGAACAACAGUUUGUAAUGCUUCAUGAUUCAAAGGGAUGUGAAGUCACUUUAUUUACACAGCCCAAGAUCCCAAAUCAUAAACGUGCUUCAAGCGGUGUUACAAUCUGUGCAGCACACACUGUGCUCACACACUGAAUGCUGAGCAGGCCUCCAGUACGGAUAUUUGCAUGUCAGGUAAAAUGGGUCUGGGAACUAUUUCUCAAGCUGUCUCCAAUGAGACACACACACACACACACACACACACACAACACAGACUUUCAUUUCCAUCUUUCCCUAAAAAGGAAACUGUUCAACCCAGAAUACACUCAAGCAUUACAUUACAUGUCCACACAGCUGCGCUGCGAAUUCAAAAACUUCAAGAAACACACUUCUGCUUCGCAGAUGAACAGAUGCAGGAAGGCACAUAACCGAUGCUGUCUGUGUGUGUGGCAGAAACCCAAAAAACAACAAUAACGUGGAUUGCCAGAGCACCAUUUGAAGUUGAAAAGGUUUAAACUGUCCAGUCAGUCAUGGACUGGGUGAGCCUAACCAAGUUAGGUCACAGUACCAGGGCAUCAUGUAGAACCAAAUCAUGGGAGAUCCAUUUAAUAAAGAGAGGCAUUGACAUUAGCGCGUGAUACCCUGAAACCAAGAACCAAGGUGUGAGCCCUUCAAAUUUACACUAAAGCAGAAGGUCUUCGCAGUCCGUCAUGUUGGUACGUUGGACAAAGGCCAGCAUGGUUCACACAGCCAGCGGAAGAGUUCCAAACCGGUCCACGGUAUGGACGACCUCGGUUUUGCACUCAGCAGGAGUCAGAGAAGUGAGCCAAAGGGGUUGGUCGCAUUCUGCAACAACAUCACCAGACCGCACACCGGCCCUUUAAGAACACACUGAGUGCUCUUCAGGUCUUCAGAAGCAUGGCUGUCAGACUCCGGCCAAGGGUAUAGGGGGGUCCAGUGCGGCCCGCCGGAUGACUUUUGUGAGAAUUACAGAAAGACAUACAUUGCAUUCCUAUAGAAGUAGUUGCUAUUCCUAUCAGUCCACUGGGGGUUGUACUGAGUGAGUGAGCACAUGCAUUAGACCAGGGGGACCGGGUCGAUCACCAAGGCAGUGCCUGUAGAUUGCCUGCCAUUGGAAAAAAAAAUCCUUGCUUACUACAAGACUAAUACAGAGCCCCCCACGUCGCCCAGACCACAAACCGCCCCAUGCCCCAUCGACCGAAACAUCCGCAUAUGCAUCUGCAUAUGGUUUGUGUUAUGGGCAGUGGUACCCUGCCGGUUGUACGUUGGUCAUAGUGAGGGGGUAGAUUAAAGCCAAGUGACUAAAGGACGGUUUUGCUUUUACGUCAAACAGGGAAUAUGGGAAUACAAACGUAGUGACGGUGAAAGUUUCAAACCAAAUCACUUUUAAUAACCAAGGAUCUACCUGGAAAGGGAGCCGGCUCAAGGUCAAGAGACAUCCAAACGCUAUGGACUAGGUACAUCAUGGGCUAGGUACAUCAUGGGCUAGGUACAUCAUGGGCUAGGUACAUCAUGGACUAGGUACAUCAUGGGAUAGGUACAUCAUGGGCUAGGUACAUCAUGGGAUAGGUACAUCAUGGACUAGGUACAUCAUGGGCUAGGUACAUCAUGGGCUAGGUACAUCAUGGGCUAGGUACAUCAUGGGCUAGGUACAUCAUGGGCUAGGUACAUCAAGAAUACCAAAAGUCAAGGGACACAGCAGACAACCACAGUGGGGGAGAAAACACACCAGGGCGGGAAGUGAAGUUAACUCAGGGAAACAAGCGCCAGCAAAAUACAAAUUAAAGCGAGGACAAGCCAAGCACCGUAAUAUUGGCCAUGUUAGCGGUGAUAUGAUAAUGCACCAUGCUGCUAUCCGGACCCUUCAGUGUAAAUAAAGCCUCUGCUGUACACAUUAUAUUCCCCCUGGGUUAUUUCCUUUUUGUAAAGCUCCCGUGUUUGUUUUAAAUGUAGUUUUAUGUAAUUCCUCAGGUUCCAUUUUUUUGGUCUUUGUUUUAAUAAACCAUUAUUAUUAUAUUUUAUAUUUCUAUUUCUGCCUCUCUACACUGGUUCUUCCACAUGCCUUCUGCCACAUGACAAAGGUCAAAGUAAAUGAAACAAUCAGUGGGGAAAAACAAAAUCUAGUGCAAAAUAUUUUGUUAUCUUUUACCUUUAAUGAUCAUGUGACCUGGUACUGUCCUCAAUGGUGGUUGUGCACUCAUCUCAUCUCAUCUUUCCUUUCUGGUGGUUUGACGACGGUUAAUCCAGUCACAGGAGCUCGUAGCUGCAGCUCCUCUGGUAUAUACCACAGAAGACAUCCCUCAUAACCAUCUGCUUUCUCAGUCCAUUUGCGGUAGCUGCCACCAUAACCACACUAAUGGACAGGAUUAUGUUCCUCACAGGUCAUAGGGAAAGCCACAUAAUCUCUGGCCUACAAAUAGAAAACGUAUUUUAGCAGUAACUCUUUAUAUCUAAUGGAUCUCUGAAUGCCACAUCAAGUGGCAUUCGUUUCCACAAUAAACUAGAUGACAGAUAAACUAUUAUUUUUUAGAUUAUCAAUCCAUAAUUUAGAAAGGGUGGACAAUAAUAACAAAAACAUGAUAUAUUUGAUCUUAAUAACACAACAUGUCUGUAAUGUAGUGUUAACACUGUUACCUCCUCACUUACCACAUGCACCUUUAAACUUGAAGCAGCUGGAUAAAGGGUUUUACCAUCACAUUUAGUGGGAUCUUUUAAAGAGAACAUGCUUGGCUUUCAUCGGUGAACACAAAUCAGUUAACACUAGAACAACGGUCCUCUGCACUAUCACAUUUUGUUCAGCAUUGUGGCAACUAAGAAUCAUAAUCCCAAA